GAGAAGCUUGCUUCUCUGAUGUUAGCGGCGGACGGGUGAGUAACACGUGGAUAACCUACCUAUAAGACUGGGAUAACUUCGGGAAACCGGAGCUAAUACCGGAUAAUAUUUUGAACCGCAUGGUUCAAAAGUGAAAGACGGUCUUGCUGUCACUUAUAGAUGGAUCCGCGCUGCAUUAGCUAGUUGGUAAGGUAACGGCUUACCAAGGCAACGAUGCAUAGCCGACCUGAGAGGGUGAUCGGCCACACUGGAACUGAGACACGGUCCAGACUCCUACGGGAGGCAGCAGUUGGGAAUCUUCCGCAAUGGGCGAAAGCCUGACGGAGCAACGCCGCGUGAGUUAUGAAGGUCUUCGGAUCGUAAAACUCUGUUAUUAGGGAAGAACAUAUGUGUAAGUAACUGUGCACAUCUUGACGGUACCUAAUCAGAAAGCCACGGCUAACUACGUGCCAGCAGCCGCGGUAAUACGUAGGUGGCAAGCGUUAUCCGGAAUUAUUGGGCGUAAAGCGCGCGUAGGCGGUUUUUUAAGUCUGAUGUGAAAGCCCACGGCUCAACCGUGGAGGGUCAUUGGAAACUGGAAAACUUGAGUGCAGAAGAGGAAAGUGGAAUUCCAUGUGUAGCGGUGAAAUGCGCAGAGAUAUGGAGGAACACCAGUGGCGAAGGCGACUUUCUGGUCUGUAACUGACGCUGAUGUGCGAAAGCGUGGGGAUCAAACAGGAUUAGAUACCCUGGUAGUCCACGCCGUAAACGAUGAGUGCUAAGUGUUAGGGGGUUUCCGCCCCUUAGUGCUGC
rnacentral:rRNA from 1 species